rnacentral:rRNA from 1 species
GAGUGAACGCUGGCGGUAGGCCUAACCCAUGCAAGUCGAACGGCAGCACAGUAAGAGCUUGCUCUUACGGGUGGCGAGUGGCGGACGGGUGAGGAAUACAUCGGAAUCUACUUUUUCGUGGGGGAUAACGUAGGGAAACUUACGCUAAUACCGCAUACGACCUACGGGUGAAAGCAGGGGAUCUUCGGACCUUGCGCGAUUGAAUGAGCCGAUGUCGGAUUAGCUAGUUGGCGGGGUAAAGGCCCACCAAGGCGACGAUCCGUAGCUGGUCUGAGAGGAUGAUCAGCCACACUGGAACUGAGACACGGUCCAGACUCCUACGGGAGGCAGCAGUGGGGAAUAUUGGACAAUGGGCGCAAGCCUGAUCCAGCCAUACCGAGUGGGUGAAGAAGGCCUUCGGGUUGUAAAGCCCUUUUGUUGGGAAAGAAAAGCAGCAGGUUAAUACCCCGCUGUUCUGACGGUACCCAAAGAAUAAGCACCGGCUAACUUCGUG